rnacentral:lncRNA from 1 species
GGAAUCUGGUAUUGCCAGAUAAUUUCCACCUCAGCCACCUAAGAUGCUACAUGGUGCCACCCAGGCCAGGAGCCCAACUCUGGUGAUUCCCAGCCAGUAACACACAUCUGUGGAGUCAUCCUGGGAUCUCACUGUGGAGUUUGAUCAGUUCAUCCAGGAGACUUUCAUAUACUCCCCAUCCAUGUUGUCAAGCAGCCCAAGCCUUUCCUUUGGAUUCAGAUGUUGAGUUGCUUUUUCAUAGUUACUUAGUAGCUAGGUCUAGAAGUCCUGGCUCUUGAAUCAAAAUCUGGACUUCUGUGGAAGAGACUGUUGACUAGACACCAACAGUCAUAUUUUCUUCUUCGUUUCAGUUCUGUGAGACCCUGGGAUAGUCAAUGCACUGUCCAUGGAAGCCAUGAACUCCACUUCAGCACUGGCCCAUGAGCCUUCCCCACUUCUUCUGGGCUGUUUUUUCUUCCUGCUGGUUCAAACGGGGACAACUCCCAAGCGACCAUGGAAUUUACAUCUUGAAGAUGGUAGCUGCUCUGCCAGCUUGGCUCCUCCAAAUGACUGCAUGGGAAGUACCCCUGGCACCCUAUAAUCCAAACUGUUAUACAAGCAAGAAAUAAACCUCGAAUGUUUGGCGUGUAUUGGUUAUGCCAGUUAGCCCACCCUAACAAUCAGAAGUUGUUUGCCUGUUAGUUUGUUUCACUAUACGAAGCUUAUUCUGUUAGAUGGGCUUAUGUAGGAUUGCAAAUAAUAUUUCAUUUUCUUAAUGCAAAAUAGGUGAAUUCAGACACCAUGGUGAUCGUAUUUUGAAACGGAUAUCUCACUGUUUAUCUCCCUGUUGAAUUCCCUCUGUGAGUUUGCUUUGCUCUGAAUACAAAGACGGGAGAAAUGACGUAAUUUCUUCAAGAUCUUCAGCAACACUACAGUGAAAUUGAAACUAGAAGCAGAAAGCCAUGCAUCAUUUUUUGCAAGAAGCUUUCAACUUCAUCACAAUAGCUUUUUUCUUGAGUUUUCCAUGGCCCUUGGUCCGGUUCCCAACGCCUUUUCCCUUAAGGUGCCCAUGAGGUGGUCUGGACUGGUACAUCACAGCAUUGUUUCUGGCUGCAGACCUUUGGACUUGGACUUAACUUAUACCAUUGGUUCUCUUGGAUCUCCACUUUACUGAAUGCAGAUGUUGGAACAUCUCAACUUCUGUAAUCAUGUAAGUACAUUCCUUAUAACAAAUCUCUUUGUAUAUAUCUGUAUCUGUAUUUAUCCCCAUCUCUAUCUCUAUCUCUUUUGGUUCUGCUUUUCUGGAGAAUCCCAACUUGUAACAAAACCCUAACUUGUAACAAAAAAAAUCAAGUAAACUUAAAUGAAUAAGAUGGCUAUUUGUCACAUGAGAAGUAAUCCAGGACUAGGCAGUACAGGGCUGGACAUGGCAGUACAGUGAUAGCAUCAAGGACUCUGACUCCCUCUACCUUCCUUCCAUACCUUUUUGUGUGGCUUUGUUCUCAUGCUCUCAGGAUGGUUGUUGUACAUCCAGGAGUUGUGUUCACAUUCCAGGCAGGAAGGAGAUGGAAGGUCAAAAGGCCAAAGGAGCUUGCAGGAAGUCUCAUGUGAGGGUGCCACUUAUGUAUGUCAUUGGCCAGGUUCAUGCCACAUGGACACCUCUAGCUUCUGAGGGUCUGGGAGCUAAAGCAUUAGCUCAGCACAUUACUACCACAAAUAAAUUUGGGGUUCUUUUGGAAGAGUGGGGUAUGGAUUUUGGUAGGGCAAUGCUCUCCAUGGAUUGUUAGAUAACCAUGUCAAAAAAAAAUGUUAGUACUUCACUGGUUUGGGAGGUUAUAUAGAUUCAAAAUAAGUGUGAAUUAAAUAUUAUUUAUAAGUUUCUCUAGCAGAGUGCAUCAAACAUUAUUUCAUGGAAUGAGGCAAGAAUAUUUACAUUUACAGAGCUUCUAUGAUAUGCCACACACAUAGCCAUUGCUUUACGGGCAUUAUCUCUUUUGAUUCUCACAGCCCUAUGAGGUCAUUUCUAUUGUCCUCAUUUCACAAAUAGGGAAAAUGAGUCUGAGAGAGUUUACUUAAGUUAUCUAAAUUUGCACAGCAAGGAAGUAGAAGAAUAAAAUUAGAACUCAGGCCCAUCUUGACCUUACAAAGUCCUUAUAAAACUUUAUUCUUACAGGAAAUCUUAUAUAUAUCUUUCAUAUAUGAUAACAUAUUUUAAAAAAACUCUGAUGCUUAGCACAGUAAGCUCCCAGGAAAUGUCUGCUGAUCACAUCUGCUUUUCUCAUCGUAGCUACUGAAUUCGAUGCUCCUUUUACAGGUGUCUCUUUAAGUCCCAAUCCAGAACAGGCGGCUCACACCUGAAGUCAGACAGUAAUGUCAGUAAUAUGAGAAUGUCUUCAGUUUUAAGGAUAUUCAACAAAUAUUUGUUGCACACUUAUGUUGAGUCAGGCACAGUGCUAGGACCUAAAGGUACAAUGCCACACAACUCAGGAAAGGUCCUUUGUUCAUGAAGCUGAACUUAUUUUCUGUGGGAAAGAGACAGGCAAGACUCUAGUAAACAAGUGAAGAUGACAAUUGGAGAGAAUGAUGAGUGUGCCAAGGAAAUGAGCAGCACAGUAGUAUAAUGACCUGAGAGGGAGGCUGCUUUAGAGAGGAUAGUCAGGAAAGGCUUUCUGAGGAGACACCAUUAAAAUGAGGACUGAAAGAUGAGGAAAAGCCAACCAUAGAAAGAACCAGAAGAGCAUUCCUGGCUGUGAAAACAAAACAAAAACUGUGCAAAGGUCCUCAAGCAAUUACAGGCUUGGGAUACUUGAGCAACAGGCCGUAGAUCUGGACAGUGAGGAAGAGGGAGGGUUGUUGGGAGACAGUGUACCCAAAGGCAGGAACCAGAUAUAUCCUUCUAGGACAUGGUAAGGGCUAUGCAUUUAAUUUGGGGCAAUGUUAAGCUAGAACUUGAUUUAUGUAUAUAAAAGUUCAGACUUGGAAUCUAAACAAUUAAUCUUCAAGGGAACAUGACGUAUUGCAGAAAACAGUCUGUGCAUCUUUCUUCAUUUAUAACUUUUCUCUUGAAAUCAUUAUUAAAACAAUGAAUGCAACAUAUUCCAAUGGAAGGCUAAUGUUAUCAGUAAAAGGAAAAUACACCCAUUAAGAAAAUUUAAGAAAACACAAAUGUCAACGAGACAGCUAAGUCUCAAAAAUGAUGAUUUUAAUCCUGCCUUUCUUCCCCUGCAAACCUUUAAAAACACAUUUUAAAAAUUAUUUCACCCAUGUUUGGA